GGAGGUAAAAACAAAAGUAUUUGUAAGCAUGAAGUUUUGCUGGUUUGGAGUUCCUUUUCACAAGCCAUGUGUUUUAAUGAUUUUUUUUAUAAAAAAAAUGCUUAGAUUAUACAGUAUAGCUUCCUUGGCAGAUGUGAUAUUGUUUGUUCUGAAGACAUUCAACAACUCGCGAGUUUCAGCAAUGGCCAUAUUGUCUAAAGUAGGUCGUAUGCCACACAUGUGUUACACUUGCUAAAUUAUUUAGUAAAUACAGUGAAUGACUAUCGAAUGUGGACGUUAUUUUAACUUUUCUUCAAAAUAAAAUACAAAGAGGUGAAGAAGGAAGUUUUGUCAAAUUCCAAAUCUUCUAAGUUCACACGUGCAUAUUGAAAACACCAGAGGAGAUGGACCAAGAAUUCCCCUCCAAACAGAACAUGUGAAAAUUUGAAAGCAGGUCAUUUGAUUGGUAAAGCUGGUGCAACGCUACCAGUGUGAUAGGCCUACACCAUACAUGUACACCAUGCUGCUGUGUGACCAAGUGAGGGGCAUCACAAUGAAGGGGAGGAUAUUUAGAUCAUUCAUGGAGCCUUCAACAUUGUAUUAAAACCAAAUUAUAAAGAGAACUCAAGAAGCCAGAGUUUUACAUUUAGUCAUGACCAGUCAUAACAUUCAGCAAAUGAAUGAGUAUCUGAUGAAAAUUAGUGAGAGUUUUCAGAGAAUGGGACAUACCGUCUGGACACCUUCACUAAGCCUGCUAAAUUAUACUACAACAAUAUAAUGACAAACAUUGCUGUUAUUCUCCCAAAGAACAUCAAAGAAAUAGUGAAGUCUUACAGUAUCUGAAGAAAAUCCUAGUCUUGCCUAGUAUUAUACCUGAGGGAAGUUUUGACCACUUAUCCUGAAGUUAUUCAUGCAUAAUAACAUGGGUCCACUAUGCACUACUAUGGAUAUGCUUCAAAUAAUAAAAAAAAAAAAAGAUUUUAAUAAUGUACAUUCUUAAAUAAAAGGUAAAAAGUGUAUAAACAGUAGUCUUAUUGCAUGUAAAAUGAUAAUUCCAUCCUUUGUUACAAUUAUUGAAUUUUUAUAAAAUUGACAAAAAAAUUAAAGAAAUCUAUGUCAAAAGUGUCUAUUAUUAUUAUUUUCAAGGCUUAAGGAUAACGUUUACUUGGAUGACAAAAAUAUUGACUGAUAUAAAAGUGAAAAACCACCUAUUGUACAUCUAUGUAAUUAUUCACUUAAGUAUGUCAUUGCCCUACUAUUCCUGCUAGUGGCUCUUGAGUAUUUCAUAGAAAAUAUAUAAAUUAUUUUUCACAAUAUGACCAACAUUUGCCCCCCUCCCCCAAUAUUUUGCCAAUAUAUAGAAUUCUAUAAAAAACAUAACUACUCUAUGCUUGUGCCCCCUCAGAAAAUACGUCUAAUGAUCUUUUGUCCUUAUUUUGCUUUCUAGAAAUUUUUGGUAGUUUUCACUGAGAAUGUAUG